AGGAUAAAGGGUUUUGACCAUAACUUGUAAUGAGUAAAUGUUGGGCAGACUUUCUGGAAGGCUCCAUUCCCAAAGGGAGGGGCUUUGGUGGACCUGCCGGGCGGCUGCUUAUUGAGUUUCUGUCUGUGCCUUUAGGGAAAAGGCUAAGGCACCAACAAAGCUGGCCUUGCCUCCUCCUUUUCCUUUGAAACCUACAAUGCAAUUAAUUACCAGCUUCACCCCCAUACACCUUCCUUUGAUAAGCCCCGGUUUAUGGGGCCAGUACCUCGGAGCUUCUGCUGAAGCCCAGCCUUCUUGGUAAUUGCAAUUUCCUGCCCAGCUUUGCAGCUUCCGGCAGGAUGCACACACAUCCGCCAGGGCCGGUGUGUGCUUUUACUUGUUCCUUGAGUAACAGAGGAAAAGGGUGUUGAACGGUACUCAAUGUGAAGGAAAGCUUCCAGCUCUAGAACUGAGGUAUCUAGCCAGAAAUGUUUUGAUUUUCCAAAAGGUGGAAGGGAUUUCUAGACAGAAGAGUUUGCUGGAGACCAAGGCGGCAAUGAACGAGCUCUUGGUUCCAACUGUCUUCUUGUAUUUUUUUCAUCUUUCUCUCAUUUUCUCCAGAGAUAAAGUGAAGGGAAUUGUUGCUGAAAACAAGUGCACAAAUAUCCGUAGCCGUGAACAGUUAAAUGGUUGUAUUUCAAUGGUGACAAUGAGCCAGAAACGAAGGAGAGAGAGAGAGACAAAGCACGAGCAGGGGAGGGGCAGAGAGGGAGACACAGAGUCUGAAACAGUCUCCAGGCUCUGAGCCGUCAGCACAGAGCCUGACGUGGGGCUCGAACUCACAGACUGUGAGAUCGUGACCUGAGACGAAGCUGGACGCUCAACCGACCGACCCACCCAGGCCCGGAAGCCAUACGUGGAUGAGGCUGGAUCCCAAGACGGGGAGCCUGUGUGGGCCUGGCCCCUUGCCCUGCAGACUCGUGGGGGCUCCUCAUGACUUUUCUUUUGAAGAAAGAAUUCCAUUGCUAAGAAAGAUUUGAGAACGACUGGCCCGCCUCAUAGGCCGCUGAGACACUUGGGGACUACGCAUGGAGCAUCUGUAUCUCCACAGCCAACGAUGCCAGGAGGUGGGUGAAGUCGCUUCGGGUGGGAGUCCGGGAUUGAGGGGUAGAAACUGAGGGGGCCCGUCUUUGUGGGAAUGGGCGUCCUGGCAACAGUGCUUUGGGAGUGAAAGAACAUCCCUCUCGGAAGAAUAGGGCUGUUUUCUCCCCUGGAGCCAGCUCAUCUGUGACCCAUCCAUCUGUCCGUGUGUUUCUCCACCCAUCCAUCCACCGUCUGUCCGGGCAGCCCUCUGUUUGUAAGGCUACGUCCAGUCCACCCGCCACUCUUGGUGGCCGUGGGCUGUGUCUGGGGAGAG